CAGCCGCCGCGGGAAUACAGAGGGUGCGAGCGUUAAUCGGAUUUACUGGGCGUAAAGCGUGCGUAGGCGGCUUCUUAAGUCGGAUGUGAAAUCCCUGAGCUUAACUUAGGAAUUGCAUUCGAUACUGGGAAGCUAGAGUAUGGGAGAGGAUGGUAGAAUUCCAGGUGUAGCGGUGAAAUGCGUAGAGAUCUGGAGGAAUACCGAUGGCGAAGGCGGCCCCCUGGACAAAGACUGACGCUCAGGUGCGAAAGCGUGGGGAGCAAACAGGAUUAGAUACCCCCGUAGUCCCUGUCUCUUAUAC
rnacentral:rRNA from 1 species